UCUAGACGAUAACCCCGUUAACCUCACCACUUCUUGUUUUCCCCGCCUAUAUACCGCCGUCGUCAGCUUACCCUGUGAAGGCCUAGCAGUAAGCAAAGUGGGCUCGCCCCAU
rnacentral:rRNA from 1 species